CAUCAAGAGAGACGGAGGGAAUGGCCCUGUGAUGUCUCAGCAACCUACUAUUUUGUGUGGUGCUAAUUCCAGUUAGAUGGGGAUUAUUUGUAAGAUU
rnacentral:ncRNA from 1 species